UAGCAACUAGCUCAGUGGUAGAGCGGAGGACUGUUAAUCCUUUGGACGCGGGUUCAAAUCCCGUGUUGCUAU
rnacentral:tRNA from 1 species